rnacentral:rRNA from 1 species
UACGAAGGGGGCAAGCGUUGUUCGGAAUUACUGGGCGUAAAGGGCGCGUAGGCGGCUUAUCAAGUCAGGCGUGAAAUUCCCGGGCUCAACCUGGGGGCUGCGCUUGAUACUGAUUGGCUUGAAUGCGGGAGAGGAUAGUGGAAUUCCCAGUGUAGAGGUGAAAUUCGUAGAUAUUCGGAAGAACACCAGUGGCGAAGGCGGCUCACUGGCCCGGUACUGACGCUGAGGUGCGAAAGCGUGGGGAGCAAACAGG